rnacentral:rRNA from 1 species
GAGGAAUAUUGGUCAAUGGACGAGAGUCUGAACCAGCCAAAUCGCGUGAAGGAAGACUGCCCUACGGGUUGUAAACUUCUUUUGUACAGGAAUAAAAGACAUUACGUGUAAUGUAUUGCAUGUACUGUACGAAUAAGCAUCGGCUAACUCCGUGCCAGCAGCCGCGGUAAUACGGAGGAUGCGAGCGUUAUCCGGAUUUAUUGGGUUUAAAGGGUGCGCAGGCGGGAUUUUAAGUCAGCGGUGAAAUUUUCAGGCUCAACCUGAACACUGCCGUUGAAACUGGGAUUCUUGAGUAUGGAUGAAGUAGGCGGAAUUCGUUGCGUAGCGGUGACAUGCUUAGAUAUAACGAGGAACUCCGAUUGCGUAGGCAGCUUACUAGGCCAUAACUGACGCUCAAGCACGAAAGCGUGGGGAUCAAACA